rnacentral:lncRNA from 1 species
AUCUCGUAACGUACCAUGUUAUUCACCCAUAUUUUUAAUUUGAGUAACUAAAGUAACUAACCUCCAAAACUCAAACAAUGAGACGAUCCAGAGGUAACGACGCGCGAAUACGCGCGAAAUUUGAAUAAUAAAUUCAGUAUCUGCCAGGUCCAAAUGCGUAUUAGAGGAAACAGGGAAAAAGCACAGGCUUUUGUCCACGCUGUCCGGCGCCAUUGCGGCGGACAAACGUUUAUUUCCGGCCGAGCUUUGAAAAUCAGUAAACUGUGCUUUUUAUCGGGGGCAUGUGAGCGUUCGAGCAGGGAUCAAACGUAUCGACCGCAAUUCUGCGGUUCUCGUACGAGAUCUCGCGUAAGUGGUGGGGCGGACGAACGCGACUAUGCAGAUCACGGAUCUAAUUACCAGAUACGAGCAUCGAGGUCCACGAAAAUUGGUCAUCCGUGAGGCGUCCAAUUUAUUUUGUGGCCGCAUUUCACGCCGUUCCUUCGGUGGAUGGAUGAUGAUUUUAUUGUUUAAAGCGAAAAGAUAGAUUGAGAAAACUGUGAAAAAAUUUUUUCGUUAAUUUAUCUUCUUUGAUAUAAUUUUGUUAGACAUGUUUGUCAUAUAUUCGAUAAUCAAUAUAAUUUGUUUAUCAAAGUUAAUUAUUAAAAUUAAUGGAAAGAGAAAUUUUAUAAGAAGAUUUAUUAAUUGCUCUAUUAAGUUUGAGCAUGAUACAUUAAUAGUGAAUGUUAUAUGUAUAGUUUCUUGUAAAAAAUUUUUAGAGAAUUUGCAUAAGAAUCAUAAUUUUUCGCUUAUGGAAUAUAGAAUACACAUUUUAUAAUAUAUGUGCGAAGAAGAGAAGUAGUGGCAAAAAUGAUGACAAGGGAUUUCGUUACGACUUGUGACACACGAACUGAUGAUUAUCGCGAAGUUUAUAUCCAAGUUGGAUCAGAUAAUGUUACAGGAAGCUGUAAUCUUCGCCAAUCGUUUUCAGAGAAGUUAAAUAAUAAUAAAUUUAUAUCGAUAUUAAUUUUUUUAGAUAAUAAUAAGAGAAUUUGAGAAAUUCGAGAUAUUAUGGUCCGAUAUCGAGACUGGCCAACGCCAAUCAUUAACAAGAUUUGGAAGGUUAUGUUGUACAGAAUUUCGUAGCUGGAUCUGAAGAUGCUUUUGUCAAAGCCCAGCUCAAAAGAGAAUGCUCUCACUUUGUGGUCUGCAAAUGGCUACGAAAUUUGUGCUCCCCAAAGUACCUCCCCUGGACAUAUGUCCAAUUUAUAUAACAAAAGACUUGGACAACGUUUUGUUAUACACUUUUAACGGAUUUGCACAUCGUUUGACAAAUAUUUUUUUUCUAUAAAAAAGUUCAGAAUUUAGUUGGAUUUUAAUAAAAAUAUAAGAGAAACGUAAAAAUCGUAUAUUAAUGAAUUUUAAAUUAAUAAAAUGACAAUAAUAUAUUGGAAAAUCUUCUAGUUAAAUUCGAAGAGAAAAAAUUUUAUAUGGAUAAAUAUUGAUAACGAAUGAGAACAUAAAAAGAAGCAAAUGGAAAUAAAUAAAUCCAAAAAAAAAAAAAAAAUACAGAUUUUUGACAGGACAGAAAUAAAAAUUAAAAAUUUCCAAUUAUACAAUUUUCCCUUUGAAAACUCGCAAAUGGGAAAUAUCAAAUUUUUUCACAUACGAAUAAAUGGAAUAAAUGAUGACCACUAAAUACAUCGAAUUCGAAUGAACAGAAAAUUCGAAAUUAAAUAAAGUCGAGAUAUUUUUAACAUCGUUUUAAAAUUUUAGAAAUUUCGAUGAGGAGAUCGAUGAAAAUUUCAAUUAAUAAUAUCAAGUUUUUUAAGAAUGUGUCUUCAAAGGUAGGCUUCCUCGAAUUUCGAAUCGUUAAAAAGAAAGUUUGGCGAGGAGCAGAAAGAAAGUUUAUCGGGUGGAUUCGAAACGGUUGUGCGUGGAUAACAGGCUUGGAGGCAGGAAGUCGAUAAACGAGCGACAUCUAGCGCGUUGCUACGCUCGAUAUUUUCUCUCCCAGCCAGAAAAAUGUCGGACCCGAUACGAGGGAUCGUUUCUCCGUGAGAUCGUACGAUGAUUCCUUCCGACACCCGAGGAAAUAUCCCUUCUUUCUUUCUCUCUAAUAUCACUCGAAACGAUGAAUUUUGUAUCGAAUUGGAUAGAAAUGUAAUAUCGUAGAACUGAUUAUUGAACUGUUUCACAUUUUUCUUACAAGAAAAAUGGGAAGAAAAAUGUUUUAUUAGACAAUAUGUAUAAUAAUCAAGUUGGAUAAAAAUAUAAUGUCGUAGAGCUUGAUUAUUAAAUUAUUUCACAGUUUUCCUA